GACAGAGGCCUCAAGCGUUAGGCGGAAUCACUGGGCUUAAAGCGUGUGUAGGCGGGUCGUUAAGUACCUUGUGAAAUCCCACGGCUCACCCGUGGAACUGCUGGGUAUACUGGCGAUCUUGGGCCAACUAGGGGCAACUGGAACAAGCGGUGGAGCGGUGAAAUGCGUAGAUAUCGCUUGGAACGCCAAAGGUGAAAACAGGUUGCUGGGGUUGUGCCGACG
rnacentral:rRNA from 1 species